AGGGAGAUUGGGCUGUUCAUUCUCCAGUUUGACAAGCUGAAUAUUGUCAGGCAGACGUCUUCAUUAAGUCUGUGUAGGAAGAGGGAAGAGCAUCAAAGGGAAGAAGUGGACAGUUUUCCUCCAGGUCCUCUGGAGAGGUGGUUAUACAUCCUGCAGGAUGAUCUAGUUGGAAAAAAAAUAUUGCUUACAGAAAAUGGAAGAGAGAGAGAAAAAAAAGAGACAAGAUACCACAUCAGUCUUCUGGAACUGUCACACCAGUCCGCAGACGGUAUCACCCUCAACAACCUUAGCAGCUUUGGAAAGUUCUAAGAGGCCCUUGUCUCACCUCCUGGGGACGUUCCCUGGAGCUGAAGAGGAGCAGCUGAUCCUACGUGAAUCCAACAGCAGGCCAAGUGUGUGCAGCAUGUCCUGCCUGCUACGUCCUGUGGCUAUUCAACCAAUCUCUAAAAUGUCUCUAGAAUCCGUUUCCUCUCCUGACUUCUGUUCAUGCUUCGAUCACUACCUUGGUUUGGACCCUUUGUCACCCCUUGUAUGGGUUCCUUUAACAGUCUAACUAAUGUCUUUUUUCCUGCCUUUUAUGUCUCCUUUCUGUGAUCUUGCCUCCUGCCCUGCAGUCAGAAUGAGCUCUCUGAAAUGUAAAUACAAUCGUUUAACUUCCCUAAUUAAAGAUUUUAUG